GCUUUACACAGUUCACAUGCAAGUCAUUUACUUGUUUCUUUCACUCAAUCAGUGUAUAUUCAUCAGAGGACAGAGACAGUGUCUCACCCAUCUUGAUGACACGGACUUGGUGCUGUGCCUGGCACAAGAGCCACAGAUGCCGUGAAAGACAAAGAGGGGGUUUUGGAAAAGGCCAUCUGAUGUAGUGACUGACUGUGGACAAUGCUGCUAUGGGAGGCACAAGGAGACUCGGAAGUCAAAGUUAUUUUCAUUGCAACUUUGCUCUUUUGAAAUAAACUUAUUGAAAGCUUUUUUACAAAACGGGCUUACAAGUUAAUAAUGCUCUUUUUAUUUUCAUUUUAGAAAAUUUUGCCAUCUGUUUUCUAUCAUUAUAAUUGGUGACUGAACUGUAAUUUUUUUUCUGAUACAUCAAUACUCAAGAAAGCUGAGAGUCAAUAUGCCAGGAAAGCCAUAUAUAUCUAGAAACUUAGAGUCCCUAAUAGAUUCUCUGCAAAAGGUCAAAAGCUCCUAAGAACAAAUUUUUAACUCAGAAGAGAAAAAAGUUUGCAAAUCAUGAUCCUUUUUUAAUGUUGACUCUCUCACCAUGCAUUUCCUGAUAAAGUGCCCUCUUUAAUAUGGAUGUCUAUGCUUAGGAUAAUGAAUGA